UUGAUUACAAAUUCAUAUGGUAUCUAUUUCAAAUUGACCCAUCCAACAAGACUAUACCAACUCAAAACUUUCUAAAUAAAAUGAGAAAUCAAGCAUGAUGAACGAUUCCAAUCUGGAGGUUUCCACAUCUAAAAUAAGACUUGGAUUCAUUUGAAAGUACCAUUAGAAUGCUCAGAGCCCAUUACAUGAACAUAAGCAGUCAUACAAUCCAGAUCUAGACCUCAAACCAUACAAGGGCAAACUUAAACAAGAUUGAAAGGGAACAUAGCCUACACCAAAUUUGUUAGAACAAAGUCUAAAUUGACUUAUAUGGCAAACACAAUCCAACAAUCAAACAAUUGUUGCUAAUUUAAGUAAGGCCACACUCUAUAAUUAAUACACGUUAAGAGACCUAAACUGCUUUAAAUCAACUACAUUUAGACAAACUCAGAUCCAAGCCUCAAAACAAAAUGAAACACACAUAAGAAGCUAAACUAAAACCUAAAUAACAAUAGGGUAGAAUUUAACACAACAUUGAUUGAUAUUUUCAUUUGGCGCCAACUAGAUCAUAGAUAUUUAUAUAAAGCUCAAUUAGGUUUCAGUUCCAUCACAGUUUCAAGAGCAUACAUGGAAAUUGAAAAGGAAAAAGAGGUGAAGAUGCAGUGGAUAACAGCAAAACAAAAAGCACAGCAGUAUCAAUGCAACGGGGACCUUACAUCAGCUUGAAACCCAGACUUCUAAAAAACCAGAAUCAAAAUAGAUUUCAUAAAUCCAAAAUAAGUUUCAAAGACUGUCGACGAUUUUAAUGGAACAAUAAUUUAAUUUAUUACUAGCCGCCUAAGAUUUUUCUGGAAUGUUUUUC
rnacentral:lncRNA from 1 species